rnacentral:sRNA from 1 species
UGUAGUGUGAGGAGCGAAUCAAGAAGAAGACCGAGACGAAACACGGCCAGUCGUCGGUCUUCUUUUUG